AUACUUACCUGGAUGAGGUCGACUCUUGAUCAAUAAGAUGAGUGGCCUAAGUUAGUAACUUCCAUUGCACAAUAAGGAAGGGUCCUGAUAUCUUCUCAAUUUGCAUUGUUUUAACCAUUCAUUCUUGCACAUGUUGAUCAUUUAGGAUAGCAUUUA